GGGUGAAGGUAACCGCGGUACGGGUAACCUGCCCUUAAGUCUGGGAUACCAUUUGGAAACAGAUGCUAAUACCGGAUAAAAGCUACUUUCGCAUGAAAGAAGUUUAAAAGGCGGCGUAAGCUGUCGCUAAAGGAUGGACCUGCGAUGCAUUAGCUAGUUGGUAAGGUAACGGCUUACCAAGGCGAUGAUGCAUAGCCGAGUUGAGAGACUGAUCGGCCACAUUGGGACUGAGACACGGCCCAAACUCCUACGGGAGGCAGCAGUU
rnacentral:rRNA from 1 species